rnacentral:tRNA from 1 species
AGGAGUGUAGCUCAACUGGCAGAGCACCGGUCUCCAAAACCGGGGGUUGGGGGUUCGAGCCCCUCCACUCCUGCCA